AGUAGCCUCCCCUUCCUGCACCGGCUCAGUGUGCACCGAAGAACCCAGUGGAAUGUUGACAGUUUCUUUUAGAUGUUGGGACAAACUGUAAUCAUGAAGCUUAGCGCCUGGAGUCUCGGUGCGCCCGGUGGUGGCUUGUAGGCACAAGUCCAGACUUUGUCUCUCUCCUUCCCCAGAUCUUUGCGGUCCAGCGGAACACGUGCAUNAGCGCCUGGAGUCUCGGUGCGCCCGGUGGCUUGUAGGCCCAAGUCCAGACUUUGUCUCUCUCCUUCCCCAUCUCUUUGCGGUCCAGCGGGACACGUGCACGGAAGCUCAGCUUCUGGGGCAGGCCCCUCUGAGCUGGAAGGCUGGAUGCAUCUCUCUGGUUUUUCUGUCUCUGGAGCCAUUGGGGAGCUCAGGGUUUGUCAUGUAUAGUGUCUGUCCCCAGGUUGGUACAGAGACGCUGCCUCCAGGGGAGAAGUUGUCUCUGUCUGGGUAGCAGAGACCCAUUUUGGGCACUUAACAAAAUGGAGAAAAGUGUUGAACAGACCAUUAUUAUUAUUAUUAUUAUUAUUAUUAUUAUUACUUUUUACAUAAAAGACUUUCCCCUGUGCCGUCAUGCAUUCUGGGACUCAGCAACCGAGAGCAGAAAAGUGAAAAAUGGACUGUCUUUUCCCUCCUAGACUCUCUGUUCACUCCAUCGCUGACAGUGAGUUAAAAAUACUUGGCUGGUGAGAAAGGUGAGAAAUGGAUGACUCAGUCCCUCCAAAUAAAGAAUCUGCCGCUGGAACGGAAGGCUGGUCAGAGCCAGCGCGCUGAGGAGUCGUUUUUAGGCCCUGUCCUGCGAGGCGACAUUCAAGACACAAUAAGCCGGACACUCGGCCAUGCCGGAAACGUUCAAGAACCGACGAACACCUGCCACCCAGAGAAGUGAAGCGCCCCGUGGAAUUCCUCUUACCUUUAGACGAGGUUAACGUGUUCUGUGGAAAAAGGAAAUACAAAAGAAAACAUGAGCCUUCACAUUGCAUGGAACGUUAGUUCCACUUUAAAGGUUUACAGGAGGCGUACGGACAGCCGACUUUGGGGCUAUCGGCAAAUACCAGCGUUAGAGAGAGGGCCGGGUCUCGCCCAGAGCACGUCGCACCUGAUUUCCGCUGGACUCGGGCACAAGGGCAACACCUCUCUCUACAGUCACUGGUAUGUGAGCUCAGACCAUGGUGGUUUUUUUCCCCUUGAUUGUUUUUAAGGUUUUUUUUUUUUUUUAACCUAAACCUAGAUGUUCAGGGUUUUAAAUCGUGUGCUCUGCUGGGGGUUGAGACGUGCGGCCCCAAAGAAGGCAUUCGAGCGAGAAGGCCGCACGUGGGCUGAUGACGCGGAAACAGGGGAAGCCCCGGCCCCUUGGCCCCAGCGCUGUCGCCCCCUGGUUAGGUAGUCCGGCCCGAUGCGAUGCGGAUCCUGAGCCUCGCCAGCUUUGAAUAUUAGGCUCUCAGGUGUCCGGGCGGUGUAGGAGUCACAGGAAACAACGAUCACGUGGGAAUCUGACUCCUUUGCAGAUUGGAACUUUCAGGAACAAAGAGACGUGCUCCCUUGUGUUGGCCGGAGGCUCACCCGAAGCUCCAGGUGCCGGAGGCUUUGACGGAUGCUCAGGGUCGCGGGGCCGCUGGCAGGUGCGCACGGGCUCCUCUGGGCCAUUUAAUUCCCUAUCAGUGGCUCCAUCUUGCUUGGAGGCUCACACCAGGACGCUGGUGGUCAUAUAAAUCAUCGUAGGUAAAAAUCAAUCAAUCAAUCAAUCAAUCAAUCAAUCAUCGUAGGUGACGGGAUCCUUCCCUCCUUAAUCACCGUCGAAUGCAAAGUGGUG
ensembl:lncRNA